GCAAUACCGCUGACGACCGGCGCACGGGUGAGUAACACGUAUCCAACCUUCCCAUAACUCGGGGAUAGCCUUUCGAAAGAAAGAUUAAUACCCGAUAGUACUUAAGAAAGGCAUCUUUUUUAAGUUAAAGAUUUAUUGGUUAUGGAUGGGGAUGCGUUCCAUUAGAUAGUUGGUGAGGUAACGGCUCACCAAGUCUUCGAUGGAUAGGGGUUCUGAGAGGAAGGUCCCCCACAUUGGUACUGAGACACGGACCAAACUCCUACGGGAGGCAGCAGUGAGGAAUAUUGGUCAAUGGGCGAGAGCCUGAAC
rnacentral:rRNA from 1 species